rnacentral:tRNA from 1 species
GGGUGAUUUUGUAAGUUGGUAGAGCAGUGGACUUUUAAUCCAUUGGUCGAUGGUUCAAGUCCAUCAUGACCCACCA